rnacentral:tRNA from 1 species
GCCCCCGUAGCUCAGUGGAUAGAGUAGAGGACUUCUAAUCCUUUGGUCGCACGUUCGAAUCGUGUCGGGGGCG